UACGUAGGGGGCAAGCGUUGUCCGGAAUCAUUGGGCGUAAAGCGCGUGUAGGCGGCCCGGUAAGUCCGCUGUGAAAGUCGGGGGCUCAACCCUCGAAUGCCGGUGGAUACUGUCGGGCUAGAGUGCGGGAGAGGCGAGUGGAAUUCCUGGUGUAGCGGUGAAAUGCGCAGAUAUCAGGAGGAACACCGGUGGCGAAGGCGGAUCUCUGGGCCGAUACUGACGCUGGAGGAGCGAAAGCGUGGGGAGCGAACAGG
rnacentral:rRNA from 1 species